GAAAUGUUGAAAAGAAUCCAAACUCCUGCACGUGCUCUCUCAGAUUCUCUCAUAUGACAUCAUCACAUGUCACUUCCUUUAGUGCCUCCCUCUCUUGCUGUCCUUCCCCUUGUAAACAAUCUGUCACCAGACUAAGACAGGAUCACACGGCCACCACUUGAAUUUUGCUUUUGCAAUGCCUGAUUCUAAUGAAGCAGUACCAGCAUCAUGCCAGGUGAUUAGAGAAAAUGUCAACAAGUGUGUGAGAGAGAAAAGAGAGGGGGACUGUAAAGAUCUGAUGGACGCCUUCCAGGCCUGUAUAAAAACUCUGUCUGAAGGAUCUUGACACGUGGAGACAUGAAUGUAAAUAAAAUAGUCUGCCCAGUGACCCAAGAUGACUGGACAGCAGAUAAUCAAUGCUGACAAAGUGCAUAAUCAAAUAUUUGUUUUUGUAAAUAUUCUCCAUUAUUUAUUUAAAAUAAUAGUAGUACUGAAUGCAUUGAUGAGAUGUUAUUCAUU